UUUCCCAUCUGUCUUUGUGUGUUUAGGAGCUAUGUUGUAUAAGUGGAUGAAGCCUUGUGGGAAGUUGGCUGUCCCAGGAGCCCGGGUGAAGGCCGGGAUGACCUUCCAAACAGGAACGCGAACAGCUGAAGGGCUCUAGUUACACCCAAGAGGUCAUUUUAUUUCAUCUGAAGAUGAAUUCUCUACUUCCUUCCACCACUUUUCUCCCAAAUUUGAAUACUGGGAAACCUCUUAAUCAAAGCCCUGGUGAUGAGCAAUUUGUUAGAACUCAAAGAACGAACUCAUCCUGAAGCAGAACUGAUGAUGAGACUGGGGAAUACGCUAUUUUUUCCAUCCUUUCUCUCAGAAUAUCGCACAUCAAUUUAGAACACGUUAAACAAGAGAUCAAGAUCAACAAGUUUAUUCAAGAAAGAAAAUGUCUUUGUAAGUAGAAUAAUAAAUUUAAAAUCCUGAAUCUUUGUG